rnacentral:rRNA from 1 species
UAGUCCACGCCGUAAACGAUGAUCACUCGCUGUUGGCAAUACAUCGUCAGUGGCUGAGCGAAAGCAUUAAGUGAUCCACCUGGGGAGUACGAUCGCAAGGUUGAAACUCAAAGGAAUUGACGGGGGCCCGCACAAGCGGUGGAACAUGUGGUUUAAUUCGAUGAUACGCGAGGAACCUUACCUGGGCUUAAAUGUAAGACGACUGUCUGGGAAACCAGUCAUUCUUCGGACGUUUUACAAGGUGCUGCAUGGUUGUCGUCAGCUCGUGCCGUGAGGUGUCGGGUUAAGUCCCAUAACGAGCGCAACCCCUAUCAUUAGUUGCCAGCGAGUCAAGUCGGGGACUCUAAUGAGACUGCCGGUGUAAACCGUGAGGAAGGUGGGGAUGACGUCAAAUCAGCACGGCCCUUAUGUCCAGGGCUACACACGUGUUACAAUGGCCGGUACAAAGGGCAGCUACCACGCAAGUGGAUGCUAAUCUCGAAAACCGGUCCAAGUUCGGAUCGGAGU